AACUAACGCUGGCGGCGUGCCUAACACAUGCAAGUCGUACGAGAAAGUCGGCUUCGGCCGAUAAGUAAAGUGGCGCACGGGUGAGUAACGCGUGGGUAAUCUGCCCCCCGGUCAGGAAUAACCCGCCGAAAGGCGGGCUAAUACCCGAUAACACUGACGCUCUGCGGAGCGUCUUUCAAAGAAGGCCUCUGUUUACAAGUUUUCACCGGAGGAUGAGCCCGCGUACCAUUAGCUAGUUGGCAGGGUAAUGGCCUACCAAGGCGACGAUGGUUAGCGGGUCUGAGAGGAUGAUCCGCCACACUGGAACUGAAACACGGACCAGACUCCUACGGGUGGCUG
rnacentral:rRNA from 1 species